rnacentral:tRNA from 1 species
GGGGAAUUAGCUCACUUGGUAGAGCGAUCGCUUCGCAUGCGAUAGGUAGUGGGUUCGAUUCCCACAUUCUCCA